rnacentral:lncRNA from 1 species
AAACAUUAUUUUUGUAUGAAUAUUUUUAAUAUAUAUAUAUAUAUAUAUAUAUAGACUCUGCGUCAGCAGCAGAAGUCUCUCUAUAUCUGCCAAAUUUACAAGGAACCACUUCCAUGUCCCUCUAAAAUAUUAUUUUGGGAUGCCACUUUAUUCCCCACCAAGUAUACCGAUCUCCGUGGCAACCCUGCGUAUUACACCGAAUUGAGUGGUCCCGUGAAGCAUUUCUUGAACUAUACACGCCCACUUGGACGAGAGGUGGAACCUUUGGGGUGUAGUCGAGUUUGCAUCAAAGGCGUGCAGCUGUUGGUAUUUCUAG